GGAGGGAGGGCAGUGAGGAGGGAGGGCUCCGUAUUCCGGGAGCCUGAGAGUGCUGUGCCUUUUCAGUGAGGAGAGGGGGUCCCUAUUCUGGGAGCCCCUGAGUGCUGUGCUGUUACAGUGAGGAGAGGGGGUCCCUAUUCUGGGACCCCGAGAGUGCUGUGCCUUUGCCUCUGCCAGGAGUGAGAAAUCAAUUUGAAAAGCAUCCUGGCUCGAAAACGCUGCUUCUCAGAGCAGCUCCGGCCUCUGAGCAGGGCUCCCAACCACCCUGACGCAGAAUUGCAGAUGGCUGGCUGUUGAGGGGACAGUUCGGCCUCCAGGGAAGAUACGUCAGAUCUAGAGGACUAGGCUGGGAGGACAGGACACCCUGAAUCCCAUCUGCCAUUCGCAGGAACACUGAGACCCCACGAUGACCCUGGCAGUGGCUUUCUGAUGGUGAUAAAAGGCAGUGGCCACCCUCGGAGGAGCUGGCGGCUGACGUGUUUCUGAUGGCUGAGAUGCGGUCUCAUUAUGUGGCCCAGGCUGGUCUCAAACUCCUGAGCUCAAGCCAUCCACCUGCCUCGGCCUCCCAAAGUGCUGGAAUUACAGGUGUGAGCCACCAUGCCCCAACAUCCUCUGUUUGUAGGAGCUGGGUUUGUACACAUCCACUUGGGGUGGUCAGGCAGGGGCCACCUCUUCUGACUCUGAGAGCCCAGUCCAUAUCCUAACAUGAAAAGCCUGUGUUUCGUUCUAGAUGUUUCCAUGGCAAUCCGUGCUGGCUGCUGGCAGACGACCUGAUGCCUAGUGUCUGCUAAUGAUUCACCUAUUAAUAGACUCUCGGGGCAGCUGAUGACCUGAGCCCAAGCGAUGUCACCUGAAGGUCCCCAGACACUCUCGCCUGGACCUAGGAAAUGCUGGGGCCACCUCCUGGGAAGCAGUGGCUCUGACGUUAUGAGUCAGGCCCCCCACCAGGAAGAUGGUCCUGGAUCUCGAACCUUGCUCAGGGCACCCCAAGGCUAUGUACAAAGGAGGCCUUGGCUGGGCCCUGGGCACGAAGCGGAGUCAUGUUGAAGGAAGGGCCUGGAAGGAGGGGUGCUUGGGAGUCAGCGUGGGUGUGGUGUGUGGGGGCCUGUGGUUUCUGGGU
rnacentral:lncRNA from 13 species